rnacentral:rRNA from 1 species
AUACGGAGGGUGCGAGCGUUGUCCGGAAUCACUGGGCGUAAAGGGCGCGUAGGCGGUUUGGUAAGCGUGCGGUGAAAGCCCGGGGCUCAACCCCGGGUCUGCCGUGCGAACUGCUGGACUAGAGCACUGUAGAGGCAGGUGGAAUUCCGAGUGUAGCGGUGGAAUGCGUAGAGAUUCGGAGGAACACCAGUGGCGAAGGCGGCCUGCUGGGCAGUAGCUGACGCUGAGGCGCGACAGCGUGGGGAGCAAACAGGAUUAGAUACCCUGGUAGUCCACGCCGUAAACGAUGGGGACUAGGUGCUUGGGGGAACGACCCCCCGAGUGCCGGCGCUAACGCAUUAAGUCCCCCGCCUGGGGAGUACGGCCGCAAGGCUGAA